GACGUAGGGCGCGAGCGUUGUCCGGAUUUAUUGGGCGUAAAGAGCUCGUAGGCGGCUCGUUGCGUCGGCUGUGAAAACCCGCAGCUCAACUGUGGGCUUGCAGCUGAUACGGGCGGGCUGGGAUUCGGUAGGGGAGACUGGAAUUCCUGGUGUAGCGGUGAAAUGCGCAGAUAUCAGGAGGAACACCGAUGGCGAAGGCAGCUCGCUGGGACGGUACUGACGCUGAGGCGCGAAAGCGUGGGGAGCGAACAGG
rnacentral:rRNA from 1 species